rnacentral:tRNA from 2 species
UCUAAUAUGGCAGAUUAAUGCAGUAGAUUUAAGCCCUACAAAUAAAGGUUUAACCUUUUAUUAGAA